rnacentral:rRNA from 1 species
UACGUAGGGGGCAAGCGUUGUCCGGAUUUAUUGGGCGUAAAGCGCUCGCAGGUGGUUCGAUGCGUCGUGCGUGAAAGACCCCGGCUCAACUGGGGGGUGUCGUGCGAUACGGUCGGACUGGAGGCCAGUAGGGGGAUGCGGAAUUCCGGGUGUAGUGGUGGAAUGCGUAGAGAUCCGGAGGAACACCAGCGGCGAAGGCGGCGUCCUGGACUGGUCCUGACACUCAUGAGCGAAAGCGUGGGGAGCGAUCCGG